AGCGAACGCUGGCGGCAGGCUUAACACAUGCAAGUCGAGCGGGCACCUUUCGGGGUGUCAGCGGCGGACGGGUGAGUAACGCGUGGGAACGUGCCCUCUGGUUCGGAAUAACUCAGGGAAACUUGAGCUAAUACCGGAUACGCCCUUUUGGGGAAAGGCUUGCUGCCGGAGGAUCGGCCCGCGUCUGAUUAGCUAGUUGGUGAGGUAACGGCUCACCAAGGCGACGAUCAGUAGCUGGUCUGAGAGGAUGAUCAGCCACACUGGGACUGAGACACGGCCCAGACUCCGACGGGAGGCAGCAGUGGGGAAUAUUGGACAAUGGGCGCAAGCCUGAUCCAGCCAUGCCGCGUGAGUGAUGAAGGCCUUAGGGUUGUAAAGCUCUUUUAUCCGGGACGAUAAUGACGGUACCGGAGGAAUAAGCCCCGGCUAACUUCGUG
rnacentral:rRNA from 1 species